GCAGACUUGGGCUUGCACUCCCGCAGCAGGCCACAUUGUGAAGCCAACAAGCUGUCGCACCACAUGGGAACCACUGCAGCUGCGGCUUCAGCUGCUUCUGUCGAGGAAUGUGGGUCACAGCAGCUUGAACCUAGUGACAGGCCAUCUGGUGCUGGUGACGUGGAAGCUUUUCAGCCCUCG